GCGGCUCUCUGCUGUCGCAGGAGGCUCCCCAGUGGCGGCACGCCCGUCGUGCCUGUUGCUGGCGCCGGCGCGCAGUGCGGGCUCCGGCUCCGGCCCUUCGCCGACGGCGCACUGCCUGCCUGUUGAGUGAAAGGUCACGGCGCCAACCAGAAUCUCCAGACUCGCAGAAGAAUGAUUCUGUUGGCCUUCUGGGCCGGACAGUCACCCCAUCGUCCACCUUCAGCCAAGCCUCAGGAUUGGAACAGCCACAGGAGGACAGAGAACGCCACCGAGAGAAGCCGGAGAUGGCGUUAACUUGUUCAACACACUUACAAGUCUGAGGUCAUUUGAACCAUACACACACUUGGGAAUCACAGCUUCCAACUUCGAUAACCAAAUUUUACUUACAAAGUAAAAUAAAAUAAAAUGCUUUAAGUCAGCCCAGGGAAUAAGUGGAAUGUGAAAAGGAAUUUACCAAGGGCAUUUGAGAUAAAACCUGUUAGAACGAGAACUGCUCUCUUGGUGUUUAGCUCACAUUCACCCACAUAUCUAAAUCUAUAGACCGCCAAACACAGCCUUAUGGUGACCUCGUAUCUUGUUUCUUCUCUUAGCAGGAUUGCCCUUCACUUGUAGACUGGGCACUCAGGAUUAAAAUCCAAAUACCUUAUUGGCUUUUAGUAUGAUUGGAAAGAAAAGCUAACCAGUCUGUGAUCAACAACUGCAUGUAGUCACCCCUUCACAAGUGUAUGUGUACAGAUCAUCAGUUGUUUCUUAGUUCUUAAAUCCUUGGCAUCUGUCCUUGUAUACCUAAUAUCAAUUAUUGUAAUAGGCUUGACGUCAACUUAUUCACAGACUAAACUGAUCUCAGCUCUGACUUCACUGAUGGAAUACAGUAUGUUUGCUGAAGGAUAAGAGACAAGAUGGAGGAAUAGAUGUACACUGAAGUUUUCCAGAGGCAACACAGUGUAAUGACACCAUCGUUCCAAUGGCUGAUGGAAUAUGUACUUGUGUGUUCAUGUUCUCUAAAAUAUUCUAGGAGAAUAGGUUUCUGAAAUGUACAAACAUUUAUAGUGUCUUCAUACUUCAGUGGGCCAAUAUUUUCCAAACGGCCAAUGUAUGAUGUUACAAAAUCGUAGAUAAAAGAUUUAUUGAAAAUGAAAGACAAGGGCCAACAAGUGGUAUGAUGGUUGAAAUACUGGAUGCCCUCAGAUGACAACAGGUGGUUGAAGUACUGAACCUCCUCGGAUGACAACAGUUCAAGUCCUAAGCAUGGCAGCUAGCUAUUUCACUUUCUCUGUCUCACUCUGAGUGCCAGUUUCAAGACAGAGGCAAUGCCUACUCAUUCAUCAUUGUAUUCUUACUCACCAUAAUAGUCUGUUUUUACCAUCAUAUUCUUAAGCCCUACAAUGCAAGCCCGAUGUCCUCCUACUGCCUGGGUUAUUGGAACUCCAGGUUCUCCUGCCUUUGGACUCAAGGACCUGUACCAGUGGCCUCUAUUUCUAAGGCCUUUGGUCUUACAGUGAGAGUUAUGCCAUUGACUUCCCUUGUUUGGAGACCUUCAGACUUGAACUGAGAUACACCACUGGCUUCCAUAGUUCUCCAACUUGCAGGUGGCCUAUCAUGGAAUUUCUCGGCCUCCAUAAUCAUAACAGGCAGAUGCUCAAUUCCAAGUUAUUACUGUUAAUGCCAGGUGCCGACAGACAGAAAAAGAGACAAAAAUGCCUCAGUGGACCAAAACAACCAAAAUACCGCACAUUUGUUUUGGUGGCAGCUGCGCCUCGGUGCCGCCUAGGAAUCACAAAGCAGGUGGAAGACCAGAGAGGAGCUGGAGAAUUGACUUGGUGGCUUGUUGGCUGGGAAGGAAGCCAGGAGGCCCAUGCUUCCACACCGGGAUGGUGCCGGGAACUAAGAAGGAACUGGGACGUGUGCUUGGCAGUGGGGCAGACCAUGCAGAGAAGAGCAGACAUUGCUCCUGGCUCUGUUAUGUGGACAGAGGGUAUCCUGAUAAUGAGUCACGCAUCUAUAAUUCAUAGCUCUGUCUUGCUUAACAGAGGUGUCUACAUUGCAUAAUGCUUAUCUCUCCUUUCAGAAGUUCUUACCAGCAAGCCUGGGGUCUGGGUGUAACAAUCAUUCUAGAAGAUUCUAGAAUGGAACGGGUCCACCCCCCACUCAUCAGGGACAGGGCUAGGAUAGACAUCAGGGACCCGAGGACCCGCCUGUGAGGAACUGAGAUCUCUAUGGGGAAACCGGGCUGGGACAUAGAGGCAGGACAGGGGAUGCCAGAGCGCCAGCUCCCUGCAUGGCGAACAGAAACCAGAGCCUCCUUUCAGACCUCUCUGCCUGGACUAGUGCUGACGGUGUGCGGUGUCAACAAGAGUCGUGUGCUGUUCCCUAUGAGUUAAGUCUACACUGGAGACUUGGCAGUUUCCACUUAGUUGAUUCGGACUUGCUCUCUAACCCUGCGUGGAGUCUGCAGCAGCAGUACGGAACCUCGUGACCCUUGAUUUGGGGACCCUAGAGUUAACUGCAAAAAUAACAACCCAGAAAUGGAUUGACCCAGAUGUCUCAAAAGGCAAAAACUGGAUUAUUUGGUGUGAGAUCGAACCAAGGCGUUAAGGUAGUGCUGUCUUUCUCGGGAUAUAUCACCAGAGGGCGCCAAGUGUCCUUCUGCAAAAGACGUUUCUCUGGUUUCUCCCUCUCUUUUUUUCUUUCCAGAAUUAAAAAUGUUUAAUGUAGUUCAAACAGCGUCUGGUUCAUUUUAGCUCCUUCACCGCCAAACCUGGGGGCAGGGACUGCUUCGGCUUCCCUGCCUUCUCUCUGUCCAUGACGACCAAGGUACCUGCUGCAUCGAACUUUAAACUUCACAUUAUCCUCAUCUUUCUUGAUCUUGACAGGUUUGGCGUCCUUUUGUCGGUCUGUUAGCAGAGAGUCUUUGAUUUCUUCAGUUUUUCCGAGGCAUGACGGGGAGCAUGGGGAGAGGGCGCCGACGGCUCCGCGCGAGAGACGCUCACCCAAAAGCGGUUUCUCUUGCACAGAACCAACACGAGCAAAACGACAGUCUCCUGCGAAGUAGGAGGCAGAAGAGAAGGGACAGGUAGUCCCUGGUACAGACUUCUGAGGCAUGGCACCUGGUUGACGUCAGCUUUCUGUUAAAGAUUGAUAGGAAUUUCCACGAAAUUGCCCAAAGCGUCCCGGCUUGUUUAACGCGCACACUGGUUUGCAUGUCUUAGGCCGGUGUAGACGCAGCCUGGGCACCGCGUCCUGUGUUCCUGCCUCUGGAACUCGCUUUGGGGCGCCCGCAUGCUGGUGUCCACGCCGGCUCCCCGGAGGACUCACCUGUGGACAGCUCUGUGGCAUGACUCUGAGUUUGCGACCCCGGGCUGUCAAUGCACCGUCCCCAUAUCACACAGGGAAACUGAGUCUGGGGGACGUGUGUAGAAUCACACUUCAGGUGAAUCUGGUGACCGAGGUAAAACUUCCGUAUUUUCCAACCCAUGAGCAUCCCCAACAGAAAGGGGGCUCGGUCCACGUAGGUGAUCAUCUAAAGUUUAAACAAGGGGAUCAAAGUGCAAAAGAGCCGGGUGGUGCGGAGGGGCGGGCGCCAGAGCGCUGUGCUCGCCUGCAGAAUUCCCGGGUCGUGCUGCCACCUCCUGGACAAUUAGGAAAUUAAACUCAAACUUGGCCAUAGGACUUCCUUUUCCAUUAAAACGGUUUUUCGUAAAAGAACUGGGACUUGUUGUAUUCUGCAAUAAUUAUUUUUUGUGAUGCAUUUGGCACUUAUAAACCCCAUGAAAAAUAUUAGAUACAUAUGAAGUGCCCGAGGUGUAAAGACAUGAAAUUUCACAACAAAUUACUGGGAAAUUAAAUCAAUGACUUCAGGUCUUCUAGACUCCAACUUCUUAAGUGUGAAAGAUCUGUUGAUAUGGAAUAUUUUCCAAUGCACUUACCACAUAAUCACGGACUCACAGAACAUCUUCUGAA